GUUUUAUAAGUUUUCUUUUAGUGUUUUCCCCCUCUGUCUCUCUCACUCCACGCACAGACGAGUCUUCACUCCAUUCCCAGGUGUUUGAUUCUUUUGCGGUUGAAGGAGAGAGAAUCUGAUUUUGAUCGAAUGGGUCAUUUUCUUUUACCAAAAGAGGCAAAUAUUAAGAUGGAACGAGAUCGUAGAGGGAUGUACAAUAGAAAUCAUCCUAAUCGUGGGGGAUUGAAGGAAGAAUUUGUAGAAGGUGUUAAAGGAUUUAUUGCUUAUGCAAAAACACUUUCUGAAUUCUGUAAUGAAGGAACGAUUAGAUGUCCUUGUGCUAAGUGCAAUUGUAUAAAGUUAUUGAUAUCGGAGGAUGUUAAAGUUCAUCUUUACAGAAAAGGGUUUAGAGAAAAUUAUUAUGUGUGGACGGUUCAUGGAGAGAACUAUAGUAAUUUAGCUGAUGUUGACUUUCAGAAUCUUACUGGUUGUGAGAGUGGUACAUUCUUUGAGAAUUGUUCUAAUAGGUUGUCUGAUAUGCUUCGGACUGCUCGAGAAAUUAAUGGGAGGCCAACUUGGAUUCUUGAUGAUAUAUGGGUUAAACUUCUUGAAUAUUGAAAAUCUCCGGAAUUUUAGAGGAUGAGCCGCCAGGGAAGGAAAGCCACUAUGUCCGACAAGGGUGGCUCUGUGCACACGGGGGUUCAAUUAGUAUGACGGCUCAUUGAAGAAGAUUGGAAAAGACUAAAGAAAGACCAGUUACUCAUGAUGAGGUGUUUGAGGAAACCCACAUGAAGAAGUUGAAGGAUGGAACAAAAAUGACUUGGGUCGAGAUGCGCGCCGACACAACCCAUAUUCAGGUGUAGCUGGACACGGUAGCAGUUAUUGAUUGUUCUGGUUGUAGAUUUUCUUGGAGAUAGCAAAGUAGCUGUUUGGCAAUCAUAGCACCUGUUCUUCUUCCUCUUAUCUUCCUCUAGCUGUAUUUAGCUAUUUCCAGGCUCAGUUAGCCUUGAUAUUAGCCAGAUUGUAGUAGAUGCUCAUGACUAGUGACACCCUGAUUUGUUAAAUGAA